UUCUUUAAGGCAAGUAGUCAUUGACAAAGGUAGAAUUUAACAAUUUUGAAUUUAAUGUCAUUGUCAUAAAAUUUUCCUAAUAACCAAGGGCAAGCUAUUAAACCACUGAUUUAGCAAAGCAAAUAUCUAUCAUGAAGAUGUAGACCAGCAUGAUGAAGAUGUAGACCAGCAUGAUGAAGAUGUAGACCAGCAUGAUGAAGAUGUAGACCAGCAUGAUGAAGAUGUAGACCAACAUGAUGAAAAGGUAGACAUGUACAUGUAGACCAGCAUGAUGAAGAUGUAGACCAACAUGAAGAUGUAGACCAACAUGAAGAUGUAGACCAACAUGAAGAUGUAGACCAACAUGAAGAUGUAGACCAACAUGAAGAAUGAAGACCAACAUGAAGAUGUAGACCAACAUGAAGAUGUAGACCAACAUGAAGAUGUAGACCAACAUGAAGAUGUAGACCAACAUGAAGAAUGAAGACCAACAUGAAGAUGUAGGCUGACAUGAUGAAGAUGUAGACCAACAUGAUGAAGAUGUAGACCAACAUGAUGAAGAAUGAAGACCAACAUGAAGAUGUAGGCUGACAUGAUGAAGAUGUAGACCAACAUGAUGAAGAUGUAGACCAACAUGAUGAAGAAUGAAGACCAACAUGAAGAUGUAGGCCAACAUGAUGAAGAUGUAGACCAACAUGAUGAAGAAUGAAGACCAACAUGAAGAUGUAGGCCAACAUGAUGAAGAUGUAGACCAACAUGAUGAAGAAUGAAGACCAACAUGAAGAUGUAGACCAACAUGAUGAAGAAUGAAGACCAACAUGAAGAUGUAGGCUGAUAUGAUGAAGAUGUAGACCAACAUGAAGAUGUAGGCCAACAUGAUGAAGAUGUAGACCAACAUGAUGAAGAAUGAAGACCAACAUGAAGAUGUAGGCCAACAUGAUGAAGAUGUAGACCAACAUGAUGAAGAAUGAAGACCAACAUGAAGAUGUAGACCAACAUGAUGAAGAAUGAAGACCAACAUGAAGAUGUAGGCUGAUAUGAUGAAGAUGUAGACCAACAUGAAGAUGUAGGCUGACAUGAUGAAGAUGAAGACCAACAUGAUGAAGAUGUAGACCGACAUGAAGAUGAAAUGUAAACCAAAAUAUUGAUCAAGAGAUGUAUGGAAUAAAAAGUGAACAUCUUGAGAGGGAAAACAAUUCCUAGAGGCAAAGACACAGACACAGUAAGAGAUUGUUUCCUUUUCUACCAUCAUUUAGAGCCUUUUUUGUGAGGGAACCUGCAUCUGAAAGAACUGAACAUUUCCCUAAUGCUACUUCAAAUUCAGAUCUCCUCCCAACCUCAGGCUGAGUACCCGUGGUCACCUACUUUAUGUUACAUUACCAUAGCACUACAGACAGUGGAAAACAAAUUAUAUGAAGGAAUGCAACCACCAUCAGAUAUUGUUGUCUUUACAGACUCCCAAUCUACUCUUCAAGAACUUAACAGCAGCACCUCAAAUA